AAUCACCUCACAGAUCCUCCUGUUGGACAACACAGAGGACACACAGAGUUACCAAUCACCUCACAGAUCCUCCUGUUGGACAACACAGAGGACACACAGAGUUACCAAUCACCUCACAGAUCCUCCUGUUGGACAACACAGAGGACACACAGAGUUACCAGACAACACAGAGGACACACAGAGUUACCAAUCACCUCACAGAUCCUCCUGUUGGACAACACAGAGACACACAGAGUUACCAGACAACACAGAGGACACACAGAGUUACCAAUCACCUCACAGAUCCUCCUGUUGGACAACACAGAGGACACACAGAGUUACCAAUCACCUCACAGAUCCUCCUGUUGGACAACACAGAGGACACACAGAGUUACCAAUCACCUCACAGAUCCUCCUGUUGGACAACACAGAG
rnacentral:lncRNA from 13 species